rnacentral:rRNA from 1 species
UACGAAGGGGGCUAGCGUUGCUCGGAAUUACUGGGCGUAAAGGGCGCGUAGGCGGAUAGUUUAGUCAGAGGUGAAAGCCCAGGGCUCAACCUUGGAAUUGCCUUUGAUACUGGCUGUCUUGAGUUCGGGAGAGGUGAGUGGAAUGCCGAGUGUAGAGGUGAAAUUCGUAGAUAUUCGCAAGAACACCAGUGGCGAAGGCGGCUCACUGGCCCGAUACUGACGCUGAGGCACGAAAGCGUGGGGAGCAAACAGG